GUGUCGGUUCGGAGUUGGAUGCCCCCGGUUCACGUACCAAAUAUGUGUUCUUUGGCAAACGACCGAAAUCGUUUUCUCAUCCAUUACAUAUAGGUAGCAAAAGUGACUACUUUGUACAGUUGAGGAUUAAAUGAGGUCGCCAUCUUCAGUGCCUGCUAUGUAGUAAGCAGUGAAUAAAUGUUAGCUAUUAUUCCCAACUCCCCAUCACACCUCAUAAACAAAAAACUAGAACAGGAGGCCCCUGCCUAGUGAAACUCUAGCUACUCAUCAGAGUAGUUUGUCUCAUUGCACUUAAGACCUCGGGAAGCCCAUCCCUUUCUGUGGACUCAGGGUCUUUGGGGAUCCUUUAUCAUAUACUACCUUCCAGUAGUUUACCAUGGAUGUCUGGUUUUUUUCUCAGAUAUUUUAAGCUCCAAGAAGGCUGGACCUGCCCUGUCUCCUCAGAACUGGGCUGUACACACAGCAAGGGCUUGAAAAUUGCAGAGGUGAAAAAAUAAGCUUUUCAGUGCCUCUAUACCUCUACAAUCACUUGAGUUCUUCAGUACUACUGUAAAACAAGGGGAGCAGAAAGAAUUAGUGUAAGUUUGCAAUAGGUACUGAGGCCCACGCAGGUAAAAUGACAACUGAAAUCAAAAGAGAGGGUAGCAGUUAGUACAAAUUUUGCCUUCAAAGUUUAGGUCAGUUUCCUCUCACUCACAAUACGUUACUACAUUAAUAGUGAGGGUUAUACCAUUAGUUUGUUAGCCUAUUCAAACAGGAGUGUGAAUGAGUUUGUUGAACAUAUUGGGUUGUUUUACAUUUUUAGGCAGCUUGGAUUAACUAGGAGAAAGUCAAUUGCACCAGCAAAUGGAAAUCUAGAAAGAAGCAAAUCCAUAGUAUUGCUGGACACAUCAACUGGAGAGACUGAAUCUGAGUUCCACGCUUAUGUUCAGUCUCCAGAACAUCCAGUUCUUUCUGAAUUUUGCACAGAACUGCCAGGCAUAAAGCAGUUCCUAUUUAUGUGCUCAGUCUUUAUGGAAUUCGAUUGUUGAAUUCAGAUUUGUGACUCUCUUGAGGCUCAAGAUGAUGAAGGAGUCCCUCUGAAGAUUUGCUUAUCUCAGUUCUGUAAAUGGAUUCAGAAGACUCAGCAACAGAAGAAAAUUAUUUUUGCUUCUGGGGUUGCAGAUCUUUCUACUUCCAAAGUAAAAUUAUGUGCAUUUGAUACUUAGUCAGGUAAAACAUAAAUUAUAUCUAUCAAUUAUAAGUGAGUAGCAUUACCAGUAUGUAAUUCUUUAUCCCUAGUAAGAAUUAUACUUGUUAACCUCCUGGGCCAGGAAAAGAAAUCCAAAUGCCUAGCAGAUGUUAAACAAGAAUGGUAAAUUUAGUCAUAUUUUUAAAAUUACCAUUCUGAGAUACCUUAAAAUUUUAAGACUUAACUUUAAGAAUCUUUCUAGAGUGUUCCUGUCUGUUCUUCUGAAUUCAGGUAAAGAUGAUUUAGUGAAAACUCUUAUCAUGCUAUUUUCUACAACCUUGAAUAAAAAGAGUUCUC